rnacentral:misc_RNA from 1 species
GUGGUUCCAGUUUCAGAAUAGUUCCAAGAGCCCCAGCUACACCUUACUAUGGUGUUUUAAAUGUUGGCAUGAAUCAAUAUGGGUCUAGACAAACUCCAAAUGAAGGCCGCAGCAUUGAAAUUUCACCUUUAAGCCAUUCUUCUUACCCAUAUCCUCAGAACGUGGGAAGAUUAUUAAUGGGUCCAUAAAUUUCUUUCAAAUGAAGUGAACAGAGUUCAAUUUUCCUUCUAUUUCAGCUGGUAAAUGACAGAAAGGCUAGAAUCUGAAAUUGGGAAUUUGAGUAGUUCCUAUUAUCGUCUUGGGGCUGAUCUUGGUAUUAGCUUGUUGCAAAUUCUGGUGUUGCCAAUUGUUGUAUUAAUCAACUAUGCGGAUCACAAAACAUUGUACAAAUAUGAAAGUAACACAGGCAAUACGUAAACACUACUGUAAAAUUAGUGCUUGAAAUGGGAUUCAUUGUGGC